UACGUAGGGUGCAAGCGUUGUCCGGAAUUAUUGGGCGUAAAGAGCUCGUAGGCGGUUUGUCGCGUCUGCUGUGAAAAUCCAGGGCUUAACCCUGGACCUGCAGUGGGUACGGGCAGACUAGAGUGCGGUAGGGGAGAUCGGAAUUCCUGGUGUAGCGGUGAAAUGCGCAGAUAUCAGGAGGAACACCGGUGGCGAAGGCGGGAUCCUGGGCCAGUACUGACGCUGAGACGCGAAAGCGUGGGGAGCGAACAGG
rnacentral:rRNA from 1 species